UACGUAGGGUGCGAGCGUUGUCCGGAAUUAUUGGGCGUAAAGAGCUCGUAGGCGGUGUGUCGCGUCGGCCGUGAAAACCUGGGGCUCAACUCUGGGCGUGCGGUCGAUACGGGCAUCACUUGAGUUCGGCAGGGGAGACUGGAAUUCCUGGUGUAGCGGUGAAAUGCGCAGAUAUCAGGAGGAACGACCGGUGGCGAAGGCGGGUCUCUGGGCCGAUGACUGACGCUGAGGAGCGAAAGCAUGGGGAGCGAACAGG
rnacentral:rRNA from 1 species